rnacentral:tRNA from 1 species
GCGGAAGUAAUUCAGCGGUAGAAUGCCAGCUUCCCAAGCUGGACGUCGCGGGUUCGAUCCCCGUCUUCCGCU